GUGAGUGUUACAUUCUUUUGCUGUUUCGCUGUUGCUGAAUGAAUGACUGAAUGAAAGCAUCUCCCAAGGCUGCCUGCUUGCUUACCUUCUCACAUGAUGCUUCUUUGCCUCUCUGUUCCUUAAGGAGCUUUCCCUCCCUUCUUUCUUGCCCCACAGUCCCCAAACUCACCAGUGUGGGCAGAAGGAGAAAAGGAAUGUUCUAUCCAGCCCCAUACCCCAGCACCUGCUGGGCAACUUUGUCUUCCCUUCUGCAAAAGAAAAGAAGUCCCCUCAAACACAGGAGAGGAUGGGAAAAGGCAUCUCUCUAAGCAGUAACCCUGGCAGGGCCCUUCAGGAUUCCCAAAUUCCCAAUUUAUAGACAGGGAAACUGAUCCCUAGAGAAGGGAAGGGACUUGCCCAUGUCCACACAGCAUGUUAGUGGGACACAUCAUGAAACAUAAAAGCAGGAAGAGGGUCUAGAAACCAUCUAGCCCUACCCCCUCAUUUAGAGAAAGGAAAACCGAGGCCCAGAGAGGGAGAGUUAGUGACAGAGCCACAACAAGAACUCAGAAGAGGGUCAGCUGGUGUGCAACCAGCUCAGUGACACAAAAGCCUGUGCUAGGGAUUUAAUGUUCUACUGUCGUGUCUUGAAAUUCUUCAUAUCUUAUCUGUAAAUGUGUAGUUUGUAAAUGAAGUCUGUGAGAUAACACAGCAGGCACCCAGGCCAACAGCCUCAGUUCAAGUGCAGUCCGGCCCCUCCCUCACCAGGUGGGUUCUCAGUGCCAGCUUCCCCAACCCCCUGCUAUCUCCUCCUCACAUCCCUUCUUCUCUCUCUUCCCCCCAACAGCUGCCAGUCUGCUAUCUGCAGGGCACUGGCACGGGAGGCUGAGCAUGCACAUCCCACAGCAUUUGGGUAGGACACGACUGCAGCCAUGCCUGCCCUAGAGGUUGAUGACAUCGUGGUGCCUUCAAGGGGGGAAACUGGCAGGGCAAGCCUUUCCCCUAUGCUAGAGCCUCUGACAUGGAGGUUGCAAGAUGUGGGGGUACCUGUCCACCAUGGAUUGGGGUGAAGGGCCUGUGGGAAAGGAGGAUGCCUGGCUUCCCUUCUCCGGGUCCUCUUGCCUCAGUGUAGGGGACCUGGCAGCAGAUGGGCACUGGUGGGCCACACUGCAGGGGAAGGCUCCUGGGUGCCUUGAGGGCCUCCGUGCUCCUCUCCAGUAGCUCCAUGCCCAAGGUAGCAUAGCAUUAAAUAGCAAAUACACAGCACAAGAGGGGCCACAGAAGUGGGGUGGGGCUUUAUGUUUGGGUACCUCUCUCCUGCCUGUGGAACAAAAGGCUUGUGUUUGCAAUGUGCCCUGGGCUGUCACAUUAGGUAGCUGUCCUGACUCAGGACUUCUGUUGCUCUGGCCACCAGCCCCCAGCACUCAGCACCGCUGGACAACACCGGUGUAUUCACGUUCAGUCUAGUGCGUUCCCGGCCCUGUGCUGGGCCUCUUUUCCCUGUUUUCUUGUUUGCAGCCUUGUCGUAACUGAGUGAGGUGUGCACUAUUAUUAGACUCAUUUUACAGGUGAGGAAAGACAGCUGCCCAUAGGCUGAGUUAACUUGUCCACGUCCUCCACCAGGGAAGCAAGAGAGCCAAGCUCCCCACCCAGGUGGCCUGGUGCUCCUGUCCUGGCCCGACAUGCGGGCAGUCGGGCCGUCGGGAAAGGAAAGCGCAGUGUAGAGGAGCUGCUUCUCACCGCCUCUCCUCCCCUCCCCACCUUCCCCGGGAACUCAUGCCCCUCCCCUGCACUCCUGCUCCUUGCCGGCUCGCCCUGGGCCGCUCCGAAGGGAGGAGACCACGUGACCCAGGUCACCGGUAACCAGGCAACCGUUCCAAGACACUGCUUUUCAUCCACUCUGGCUUCUACCUUAUUCAAUAUCUGCCAGGCGGGCAAGGCUCCUGGGAGCAUCCCUGAAGUAAUUCUAAGAAAUAAGGCUUGCUGGGGAGGCCUGCGGGGACAUCUAAUAUUCUUUCUCUCUGAACUCUGUGCCCCAAAGUCGUGAACUUGCCUGUUGGGGAUUCUGAGUGAAUGCUGGAAAUCCAGAUUCGUUGGGGCCAGAGUUUGCCCUGCGCAUGAGGGAGAGGGUGUGGGGUAUGGGCAGAGGUGGCAAGGGAGGCUUUGUGAAACGUUACACUCUGCUUCCUCAACUGCAGGCCAUUUCUCUGGGCCAGGAGCCAGCUGUUCCCAAAAUGGCCACGAUGCCUCAGGAGGGAGGUUGACACCCUGUGCUCUCAGAAGCAGCUCAGAGCUCAGAGGCAGACCUCUACUCAUGCAAUUCUGCCUUCUGUGCAUGCAAUGGAUUGCUGCCAUCUCCAAUCAGGGACUUCUAUGCCCUCUGCAGUUUGCCUCUUCCUCUGCUAUUUUUUCAUGUAUGUGUAUGUUUUUUGCCUGUAUUUGCAAUGCCAGCCAUCAUUUGCCAUGUCUUCUAGCGGCAACCUGCAUUUAGCCCAGAUCUGCUGUGAUUAUUCCUUUUCACAAACCACAAUGACUCUGGAAAACCUGGCUGUAAACACCAGCACUGCCACCAGCUAAGGAUCUGUGAUCAGGAGUGCCAUCUCACGGUAACAGGAAUAUGAAGUCUGAGGUUUCUGCUCUGACAAGAGGAAAUGUCUAACAGCAGAAGACAAAAGUGAAACCGGGCUGAUGCGAAUCACUGGGAAACUGGCUUUGGCACCUCCAGAGAAUGAACUGUUUCAUAGCCUAGCUGACCAUCCAUGAAAAUGGCUGCCUGGAGAGGCAGUGAUCAGCCCAUCCCUGCAGGGUGAAGAUAAGCUUGUGCAGGCCACUGGCUAACACAGUUCAUCCCAUGCCUCCUACAUACCAAGCACUGUGCCAGGCACUUUUCACGUCUGGCAUCCUCAGAAUCCUCCAAAAGGAGAGGUUCGUGGAGGAUAAUGCUGUCAGGCUUGGAAGCAGCAGUAGAGAUCACGUUGCCCAGCUCUUGGCAUCAUUGGUUCCCAAAGCUCUGAAUCCCCUGGAGAGCUUUUGUAAAAGGUCGGAUUCAGACAAUCCGGUGGAGCACUCUGAAAUUUAGAGGAAGUGGUCAAAUAGAAUUUUCUGGAAUUAUGGAAAUCUUCUAUUCUGUGCAUCUAGUAUAGUAGAAUCUAGUCACAUGUGGCUUUUGAGAACUGGAAAUAUGGCUAAUGCAACAGAGAAAGUGAAUUUUUACUUUUGAUUCAUUUAAAUAUAAAUGGUCACAUAUGACAUCACUGCCAUAUUGGACAUUGCAGUUCUGGAAGAUGGCAGAUGCAGCCCUCAGAAGAAUUAUCAGCCUGAAUGUCUGGGCGGAGCAGAGCACUACCUUCCCACUCACUCUUCCCCUCCUCUCGCCCCCUCCCCUGCCUCACUUGCAUCAGAUUAUGAUGUGAGCAAAAGCAGGAAACAGCUCUUUUGAUAGGCCUGUGAGACUUGCUGUUCGUUGGAGUAGCUAGGCUGCUCUGACUCAUACAGACCCAAAUCCUGGCAACCACUUUUAUGAAGAAAUGACAAUUCAGUCUACUACUUGUCCAUUUUACAUGCCCAAGGAAUGUGAGGGGCCUCUGCUUGGAUCUAGUUUUCAACCUAGUCUAUGGCAUUGAUUAUCCUUUUAAAAGACAAAAGAGGUGACUUCACGGGCACUUAACAUCUUGGCCAUACUGACCCCAGUUGCACGCUACGUAGGAAGUUUUAGUCCAUUUAAACUGAAGUUCCAAUUUUUUUUUUAACAACUAUUUAAAAAUUGUACAUGUCCCAUACAUGACAGAGAAAGGGUUGUCUGGUUGGAUGAUUUUUGGCUUGCAAAAAGAGAACACAAAAGAAAAGCAUACGUUUUAAUACUCAAGAGACCAAAUUUUCUGCUGAAGAGGAAAUGAACUACAUAUCCAGAAGGGUCCUACCAAGAGGCCAAACAGACUGUGUUCUCUUGGGGGAGUUCUCAGUGGUGAUGAGAACACCACUUUUUUUUUUUUUUUAGUCAUUUUCAAGGUGAGAUAUUGACUUGCUGCUGGAGCAGGACAACUGGUCUCUCUUUCAUUGCUAGCAGCAGAGUAAGGGUCUUGCAAGUUUCAGGCAGCAGCAGAGAAAGGGUCUUGCAAGUUUCAGUCCAAAGCAAGAAGAGCUAGGAUUGCACCAGCUGUCUCACCUACUCUGUGCUCACCUGUUUCUGGAUGAAGCACGGUGACAUCUGUUUUAUUGUAAAGAGAACCAACUUUGGAAUCAAAUGGAACCUGUAUUAAAAUCCUGAAUCCGUCACUAGCUUGGACAAGUCACUUCACUUCUCUGAACCUUGUUUUAUUCCAGUUAAGAAUAAUAGUAAGCCAGUCCCACAGAGCUGUAGCAAGGUUAAAAUGAAUGGUUGUCUGUAGAAGCAUUUAAAAUAGGGCUUCAUACAGAGCCAGUACCUGGGGAGACUGAGGGUUUGAACCACAUAGUUCCACUCUGGCAAAUCACAGAGGGGCUGUAGGAUGGUCCUUUAAGGGGGAUGUGUUAUGGGUUAAUUGGAACAGUGCUUCUUAAACUCCAGUGUGCAUUCAUAUUGCUUAGGGGUUUUGUUUAAAUGCAGAUUCUGAGUUACUAGGAUUAUGCAAUUUGAAUGAGCUUGCAGAUAAUUUCAUGGCUGCUGGUCUCUGACAUCACCUUUGAGAAGCAAAGAAUUAAAGGUCCUGUCCUGAUCUGUCUCCUUCUCCUGUUAUCUGUGCAAAAGAGAUAUACUGUCUACUUUGCAUAGUGAGAUGGCAGGUACAAAAGUAGGAUGAGGAUAAUGUAGCAUGAGCACAGAGAAGGAAAACCUAGGAGGAUGAGUAAAGAAAUCAUGGGAAAAGAGAUAGAUUCAAGGCUUUCAAUCCUGACUAGACUUUAAAUUCACCUGGAGAGCUUUAAAAAAACUAGCCAUUGUCUGGUCCCAGGAAUACUGAUUUAAUUGAUUAGGAUGGGACCAGACAUGACAUGUUAAAGAAAAUAACUCCCCAGAUUAUUCUAGUGUGUAGCCAGGGUUAAGAACUGCUGGGCUAGACAAAUGAGACAACUUUCCCAGAUGGAAAGAAUCAGGAAGGGGCCUUAUCAAGAUAUUAUGUCAGGUUUGGUUUUCAGGGGGCUGAUAGGAAAGAAAAAGAAAUGCUUCAUGGAAAUUGCAGGUAAGACAGGCCAAUUGGUUGAAACCUUGACAAAUCAGACCAUUUGAUCAAAUUGUUCCCAAAAUAUGAAAACUCUGUCUCAACCGAAAUAAUCACUUAGCUCUGGGACUCUAAAGCAACCUGUUUGUCUGUUGGGAAGCUAGGGUAAAUGUGAGAAGUGAAAUCCAUGCCAUUUUUUGGAACUGGAGACUUUUUAAUAAUUUCAUUAACAUUGUCAGUUUGGUUGUCCUCUGUGAUCAGAAGCUGUCGAAUGAUGUUCAUUUGAGUACAGAAGCCAGCCCUUUCUGUAGCAUUAACCAGGCCUCAGUCCAGUGGAUCUCUACAGGGUGCCACGAGCCCAGCACAAGUGCUCCAACACAUUCUGACCAAUGAGCAUAAUUAAUUUGUUGUAAUUGACUUUACACUCUUGAAGCCCAGGUGUAGACUUCCUUCUUGUUACCAGAAGCCAGCUCAGACAUGGCCCUUUGCCAGCCUCAACACAAAGCUCAGCUCUCUUCCAGGGUUCCCUAAGAUCUAGGCACGUCAAGCAUCUGAAAAUAAUAUGGUUUUACAGAAGAUUCCUUACAUCCUGCGGUGGGGCCAGCUCAGGCACUGAACAACGUUUUGUUUGAGCAAUCCCCAUUGGACACAUCUCUCCCCCGAAUCCCUGUCUGCACAGCCAAUAAGGUGAUUCUCCUCUGUCACCCUCCUUAGCCCUUGCCCAUUCUUUUAUUCCUUUACAAGACAGCUGGGUUUAGCCCUGUCCUAAGUGCUCCACACUCGGCUGCCUGCACCCAGGCAUAGCAAACACAAAGCCCUUCGGAACCCCAGGCCCACCCUCUUUAGAUACAUGUUAUAAACUGUUACUGUUGAUGAGGUCAUUCCAGUGGGUGUCAAGCUGGGCACAGCUUCUGGUAAGAAGAAGAAAGCAUAGCAGAUUCACAUCUCAGCCAAAGAACCUGGCUGUGAAAAGCCUUUGCCUAAAAGGUCAUGCAGUCCACAGUUCUGCCACACAACUGCAGCCUGGAAUCACAUGGGGAGUUCUUAAAAUGCUGAUGGCUGGGCUGUACCCCUGAAAUUCUGAUUUAAUUGGCCUGGGGUGUGGCCUGGGCAUUAGAGUUUUGUUAAAGUUCCCAAGUCAUUCCUGCCAUGCUGCCAAAUUUGAGAGACGUUGUUCUAAAGAGGCUUAGCGAUAAAGGCCAAGUGAAAAGGACAACCAGUCCUACGUUAUAGUUGCAAUUGCUUUGUCCUUAUUACUGACCUGUUUGGUCUUGUUUUGAGUCUUUUAAUCCCUUCAACUGAACUCUCCAAAAUUCUACUAUUGGACAGUAUAGCACAGAAAGUUUGGG
rnacentral:lncRNA from 1 species